rnacentral:rRNA from 1 species
AGAGUUUGAUCCUGGCUCAGGAUGAACGCUGGCGGCGUGCCUAAUACAUGCAAGUCGAGCGAACAGACGAGGAGCUUGCUCCUCUGACGUUAGCGGCGGACGGGUGAGUAACACGUGGAUAACCUACCUAUAAGACUGGGAUAACUUCGGGAAACCGGAGCUAAUACCGGAUAAUAUAUUGAACCGCAUGGUUCAAUAGUGAAAGACGGUUUUGCUGUCACUUAUAGAUGGAUCCGCGCCGCAUUAGCUAGUUGGUAAGGUAACGGCUUACCAAGGCAACGAUGCGUAGCCGACCUGAGAGGGUGAUCGGCCACACUGGAACUGAGACACGGUCCAGACUCCUACGGGAGGCAGCAGUAGGGAAUCUUCCGCAAUGGGCGAAAGCCUGACGGAGCAACGCCGCGUGAGUGAUGAAGGUCUUCGGAUCGUAAAACUCUGUUAUUAGGGAAGAACAAAUGUGUAAGUAACUAUGCACGUCUUGACGGUACCUAAUCAGAAAGCCACGGCUAACUACGUGCCAGCAGCCGCGGUAAUACGUAGGUGGCAAGCGUUAUCCGGAAUUAUUGGGCGUAAAGCGCGCGUAGGCGGUUUUUUAAGUCUGAUGUGAAAGCCCACGGCUCAACCGUGGAGGGUCAUUGGAAACUGGAAAACUUGAGUGCAGAAGAGGAAAGUGGAAUUCCAUGUGUAGCGGUGAAAUGCGCAGAGAUAUGGAGGAACACCAGUGGCGAAAGCGACUUUCUGGUCUGUAACUGAC